UAGCUAGUUGGUGAGGUAACGGCUUACCAAGGCGACGAUCUGUAGCGGGUCUGAGAGGAUGAUCCGCCACACUGGAACUGAGACACGGUCCAGACUCCUACGGGAGGCAGCAGUGGGGAAUUUUGGACAAUGGGGGCAACCCUGAUCCAGCCAUGCCGCGUGAGUGAAGAAGGCCUUCGGGUUGUAAAGCUCUUUCGGCCGGGAAGAAAUCGCAUGGGCCAAUACCCUGUGUGGAUGACGGUACCGGAAUAAGAAGCACCGGCUAACUACGUGCCAGCAGCCGCGGUAAUACGUAGGGUGCGAGCGUUAAUCGGAAUUACUGGGCGUAAAGCGUGCGCAGGCGGUUUUGUAAGACAGGCGUGAAAUCCCCGGGCUCAACCUGGGAACUGCGUUUGUGACUGCAAGGCUAGAGUACGGCAGAGGGGGGUGGAAUUCCACGUGUAGCAGUGAAAUGCGUAGAGAUGUGGAGGAACACCAAUGGCGAAGGCAGCCCCCUGGGUCGAUACUGACGCUCAUGCACGAAAGCGUGGGUAGCAAACAGGAUUAGAUACCCUGGUAGUCCACGCCCUAAACUAUGUCAACUAGGUGUUGGGUGGGUAAAACCAUUUAGUACCGUAGCUAACGCGUGAAGUUGACCGCCUGGGGAGUACGGCCGCAAGGUUAAAACUCAAAGGAAUUGACGGGGACCCGCACAAGCGGUGGAUGAUGUGGAUUAAUUCGAUGCAACGCGAAAAACCUUACCUACCCUUGACAUGCCAGGAACUUGCCAGAGAUGGCUUGGUGCCCGAAAGGGAGCCUGGACACAGGUGCUGCAUGGCUGUCGUCAGCUCGUGUCGUGAGAUGUUGGGUUAAGUCCCGCAACGAGCGCAACCCUUGUCGUUAAUUGCCAUCAUUUAGUUGGGCACUUUAGCGAGACUGCCGGUGACAAACCGGAGGAAGGUGGGGAUGACGUCAAGUCCUCAUGGCCCUUAUGGGUAGGGCUUCACACGUCAUACAAUGGUCGGUACAGAGGGUCGCCAAGCCGCGAGGUGGAGCCAAUCCUAGAAAGCCGAUCGUAGUCCGGAUUGCAGGCUGCAACUCGCCUGCAUGAAGUCGGAAUCGCUAGUAAUCGUGGAUCAGCAUGUCACGGUGAAUACGUUCCCGGGUCUUGUACACACCGCCCGUCACACCAUGGGAGCGGGUUCCGCCAGAAGUAGGUAGCCUAACCGCAAGGAGGGCGCUUACCACGGCGGGGUUCGUGACUGGGGUGAAGUCGUAACAAGGUAGCCGUAGGGGAACCUGCGGCUG
rnacentral:rRNA from 1 species